CGUUCUUUUCCGUUUGCGGUGCUUGAGAUUAGUGGAGAGAGUUUUAUCUCAUCGAGCUUGAUUUGGGUGAGAUUCAACUCCUCCAACUGCUCUCACACUGAAUUUGCUCCUCCUCCUCGU
rnacentral:precursor_RNA from 8 species